rnacentral:lncRNA from 1 species
GCUCUUGGGGAGACUCGAACUCACAACCUCUCGGUUGGAAGUGUGGGUUGCUUACCAUCAUAUCACUUCACAAACUAUUGACAUAUAUUUUUAUUAUCUAGAAUGAUCAUAUUUGCAAAUUGUUACAAAGUUUUAAGAUGAAAAUGCACUAAAUUGGUAUAAUAUAUUGGAUCUAAAGUCAUUCAAUUCACUAGAAAACUCGUGAAAUCGUGACUUUGGACCUUAAAUAGCAACAGAAGAACGAAAGGCCAGCGGAAUUCUGUCAAAUACAUGGUCAUUAUGGACGAGAAAAUGGGUAUGGUCAUUGCACAGUUACUCCAUGAGUAGAUGUGAAUAUCUGACAGUUAUAUGCAAGAAAUUGUGUUUAAUCCAGCACAAGCUGCCCCACUCUUGAGCUAGUCAAUUUUCCGGCACUUCUUCCACACCCUGGAUAACUUAUACCCAAGCUUCAU